UCAAAACACUAAAAUCUUUGGAUUCACUAAUAACUUUUGAUCAAAAUACUACUUGUAUUAUGAACUAAAGAGUUCCAUAUUUUCAAUUUUCCAAGUAAAGCCUAAAAGAAAGAAUAUCUGAUUCUUGAGUACAUCUAAUCCAGAUUAACUCUCAAGUCAAUUGUUCCAUUCAAAAUCAUCAUAUGGGCUCGUUACUGUAAUUCCCAAAAUGUAUUGAAUCUUAAUUCUCUUAUCAAUUCAACUGGAUGAUUCCAAAUCAAACUCUUAUAACCAGAUUUUUUUUUUUUUGAUGCUCUACUAAAUUUCAAGACUUUAAUUCAACACAAAUGAGUCAAACCUCAAAGAUCUUCCAUCUUAACCAUCUAAGUCUCUAAAAUUUAAAUUCUUCACGCAAAUUUAGGUUUCCACAAUAACCUCAACAAUAUUGGCAAAAGACCCUAGGUUAACUUAUAAUUCUAAACUUUGAAUUGAAAUUCCAUAUACAUCAUACAGUCCCCGAUAAACAUGAAUAAGAUCUAUUAUUUGGAUCCAAAAGCGAUAAUUAAAAUUAUUAGUAAUUCCACCAAGAUGAAUAAAAUCAACAAUAGACCUAUUUGCAAUAACUCACAAUAUUUUUUUUUUUUUCAACAUAAGAGUUUCAUUGAUACUCCCCAAACAUGUUCAAACCUCGAAGAGUAUUUUAAUUAGGUAUCAUAAAAAUCUUUCAUAGCUUAAAACUUAAACAAUUUCUUAUGAAGAGAUCCUAACUUGC
rnacentral:lncRNA from 1 species